rnacentral:rRNA from 1 species
CCGAAUGCUUGCAUUCACCGUAAGAAGUUGAGUGGCGGACGGGUGAGUAACACGUGGGUAACCUGCCUAAAAGAAGGGGAUAACACUUGGAAACAGGUGCUAAUACCGUAUAUCUCUAAGGAUCGCAUGAUCCUUAGAUGAAAGAUGGUUCUGCUAUCGCUUUUAGAUGGACCCGCGGCGUAUUAACUAGUUGGUGGGGUAACGGCCUACCAAGGUGAUGAUACGUAGCCGAACUGAGAGGUUGAUCGGCCACAUUGGGACUGAGACACGGCCCAAACUCCUACGGGAGGCAGCAGUAGGGAAUCUUCCACAAUGGACGCAAGUCUGAUGGAGCAACGCCGCGUGAGUGAAGAAGGUCUUCGGAUCGUAAAACUCUGUUGUUAGAGAAGAACACGAGUGAGAGUAACUGUUCAUUCGAUGACGGUAUCUAACCAGCAAGUCACGGCUAACUACGUGCCAGCAGCCGCGGUAAUACGUAGGUGGCAAGCGUUGUCCGGAUUUAUUGGGCGUAAAGGGAACGCAGGCGGUCUUUUAAGUCUGAUGUGAAAGCCUUCGGCUUAACCGGAGUAGUGCAUUGGAAACUGGAAGACUUGAGUGCAGAAGAGGAGAGUGGAACUCCAUGGGUAACC